UACAGAGGUCUCAAGCGUUGUUCGGAUUCAUUGGGCGUAAAGAGCGUGUAGGCGGCUCGGUAAGUCCGCUGUGAAAGUCCAGGGCUCAACCCUGGAAUGCCGGUGGAAACUGUCGAGCUAGAGUCCGGAAGAGGCGAGUGGAAUUCCUGGUGUAGCGGUGAAAUGCGCAGAUAUCAGGAAGAACACCCGUGGCGAAGGCGGCUCUCUGGGACGGUACUGACGCUGAGGAGCGAAAGCCAGGGGAGCAAACGGG
rnacentral:rRNA from 1 species